UACGUAGGGUGCGAGCGUUGUCCGGAAUUAUUGGGCGUAAAGAGCUCGUAGGCGGUGUGUCACGUCGGCCGUGAAAACCUGCAGCUUAACUGUGGGCGUGCGGUCGAUACGGGCAUCACUGGAGUUCGGCAGGGGAGACUGGAAUUCCUGGUGCAGCGGUGAAAUGCGUAGAUAUCUGGAGGAACACCGGUGGCGAAGGCGGCAUCCUGGACCGGCAUUGACGCUGAGGCGCGAAAGCCAGGGGAGCAAACGGG
rnacentral:rRNA from 1 species